rnacentral:miRNA from 1 species
AGCUGAAUCUUGAGGUGCUUCC